GGGCUCUUAGCUCAGUUGGUAGAGCAGCGGACUCUUAAUCCGUAGGUCGUAGGUUCGAAUCCUACAGGGCCCACCA
rnacentral:tRNA from 4 species